UGGACCGGUGAUGAGGCUCCGGACUUUUGAGGUGAGGAUGAUAAUUGUCAUGUGUCUGAAACUCUGAGAUCCAG